rnacentral:lncRNA from 1 species
GGAAGCUGAGGGAAGGCCAGUCAGUUGAAGUAGGAUGAUUCAGCCCACUCAAUAUUUGAAAUAUUGUUUUUAAUGAGAUCCUAGGGCUCCAUUUCAGAGCUACUAGAAGUUUUAUGAGUGAAGAAGGGAGUUGUUUUACUGCACUAUACAGAGUCUCCUUAUCUUUCCCUUUUGUCAUUCUUGCCAUAACCUUAUAGCCUCUAACUUAAUCAGCCUGGCUUCCUUCAAGUAAUACAGCAGCACUUAACGUUGCCUUCUUACUUUUCUUCUAAGUAGUUCUUGUUUCUGUGUCUGAGCAUCUAGGGAGGUAAAUGCAAACGAGGAUGGAAAUAAAAUAUGGCUCAGCUGUGGCCUGAGCAGCCCCUUCCAAAUGCACUCACGGCUUCUCUGCACAUCUUGAUACGUGAAUGGGAAAGAAAAAAAGCACAUUUUGGUCCAGCUGGUUUUCUUCCCUUUGUCUCCCUCUGAGGUGCUCAGAGGCAUCAGUAACAGAGUAGGAAAGCCCCGGCCGAACAAACCUUCACCUUUUCCUUUGAUACCUUCCACUGGGAGCCUUCAUACAAUGCAUUUGAAAGCACUUUGUCAGCAAACUCCUGCUUCAGGCAAACAUUGAGAAAACUAUUGAGGAGGCCUCAAUGGAAAGGAUCUGAUCUGCCCCAGAAACUGCCCUAGUUCUCUCGCAGGAGAGCCACCAGCAGGAGAAGAGAAGUCCUCUCUCCUACCCCAAUUUUUUUUUCUUUCUCCUUUUUCCUCUCCUCUCUAUUGUAAGAAUUGUGGGAACUCUCUGUAAAUGAAAAUAACUCUCAGGCUGAGCUUUGUCUCCCAAUGUGGACAAAUGCCCAGACAUCUCAUAUCCCCUCUGGAAAACUGGACUCUCAACUUUGGAUGAUCACAAACUAUUUGGGGCAAGUGUUUGAGCUCAAGGAGAAACACAUGGUAGGUGUUGUGUGCGUAGCUUUUUCUAAAGCACCUGAACAUUGAAUACUUGUUCAUCAACCUACUGCUUCCGAGUCCUUUGCUACCACUUGCUGGUCUGUUGUUUGCGCCUCUGCAGGCUGCCUCUGCAUCGUGUUCGCAUUGGUAUCCGAUCUCUCCCUGCACCACCCCUUGCGCAAUUUUAAUUGAAUUUAAUGAUUUCUGAACCCCUCAGCAUCUAUCACUUUUUAAAAUCCAUACUACAGGCUGGGUGUGGUGGCUCACACCUGUAAUCCCAGAACUUUGGGAGGCUGAGGCAGGCAGAUCACGAGGUCAAGAGAUCGAGAUCAUCCUGGCCAACAUGGUGAAACCCCGUCUCUACUAAAAAUACAACAAUUAGCUGGCCGUGGUUGCAUGUGCCUAUAGUCCCAGCUACUCAGGAGGCUGAGGCAGGAGAGUUGCUUGAACCCGGGAAGCAGAGGUUGCAGUGAGCCGAGGUCAUGCCACCACACUCCAGCCUGGGUGACAGAGUGAGAUCUGUCUCAAAAAAACAAAAACAAAAACAAAAACAAAAAAA